UACGGAGGGUGCAAGCGUUGUUCGGAAUCAUUGGGCGUAAAGGGCGCGUAGGCGGGUCGUUAAGUCCGACGUGAAAUCCCUCGGCUCAACUGAGGAAGUGCAUCGGAUACUGGCGGUCUUGAGUCCUGGAGAGGGUAGCGGAAUUCCCAGUGUAGAGGUGAAAUUCGUAGAUAUUGGGAGGAACACCGGUGGCGAAGGCGGCUACCUGGACAGUGACUGACGCUGAGGCGCGAAGGCCAGGGGAGCAAACGGG
rnacentral:rRNA from 1 species